rnacentral:rRNA from 1 species
UCUCUAUGCGCCUACGGGAGGCAGCAGUGGGGAAUCUUAGACAAUGGGCGCAAGCCUGAUCUAGCCAUGCCGCGUGUGUGAUGAAGGCCUUAGGGUCGUAAAGCACUUUCGCCAGGGAUGAUAAUGACAGUACCUGGUAAAGAAACCCCGGCUAACUCCGUGCCAGCAGCCGCGGUAAUACGGAGGGGGUUAGCGUUGUUCGGAAUUACUGGGCGUAAAGCGUACGUAGGCGGAUCAGAAAGUAAGGGGUGAAAUCCCAGGGCUCAACCCUGGAACUGCCUCUUAAACUCCUGGUCUUGAGUUCGAGAGAGGUGAGUGGAAUUCCGAGUGUAGAGGUGAAAUUCGUAGAUAUUCGGAGGAACACCAGUGGCGAAGGCGGCUCACUGGCUCGAUACUGACGCUGAGGUACGAAAGUGUGGGGAGCAAACAGGAUUAGAUACCCUAGUAGUCCA